UCUCGACCAAGCUGGAGGGAACCUGCGCGACGACCGCGGGGGCUCCUGGUCUACGAACUCGGGAAACAAACUUGCCCGGCUCCGCCCCGCCCGCGGCCCCGGCUCCACCCCCCGGGGGGGAUGGGCACGUGGGUUGGGUCACGUGACUGUUGCCCGGUUGCUAGGCGACGGCGUCCGGCUGCUAGCGCCUUAGUCCCGCAACUGCCCAGGUAGUUCCCGGCACCGCUGGAGAACAUUCAGAUUUGCGUCGCAAAGGGCACAAUAUCUCGCCGAGUUGAAGUUCCUGCAAGUGGGCUGAUGGGAGAACUUGGGAGAACGUCCAGGUACAAACUGCAGAUGCGGCAACAGCUGUGUCUCAUCCCAGAGGGCACCCUCUCUCCUCCCUCCUUCUCCGGUGAAAGUGGAGACAGUUGCGGACCUCAGAGGAUCCUUGUGAGGAUAAAUGAACUAAUUCAUGUUGAAGAAAAAAUGAUUCUGACACUUGCUAAAAUGGAGGGGAGAGACCAUGUGGAAACUUGAAAAACUGCCUGGUUGGGUCCUGAGAUCAUAUCAAGACACAUACUCUCUCCAGAUACAAAGAAGGACUUUUCUAAGGCCGGUGUGCUCAAGUCAGGCAUCAGAGAACCAUCGGAAUGCCCCGUGGACCCCUUGGUGAGCGUGGAAAAGGCAGAAAGGAAAUCGCCUGUGCCCUGCCGUGUCCCAGGAAACAGUGGUCGUGUUAGACACCAGCCAGAAAGAAAGCGAUAGGAGUGGAGGUUGCCGAGGACAAAGCCAGCCCCCCCUGCACUCUAAUUCUCUGUCCUGUGGCAUUUUCUUCAUCCAUACUCCAGCAAUCCUCUGUAUUUUUAUUGAAGUAUAGUUGAUGUACAAUGUUGUGUUAAUUUCUGCUGUGCAGCAAAGUGAUUCAAUUAUAUGUUCAAUUAUAUAUAUAUAUACACAUUCUUUUUCAUGUUCUUUUCUAUUAUGGUUUAUCACAGCAUGUUGAGUAUAGUUCCCUGUGCUCUGCAGUAGGAGCUUCUUGUUCAUCCAUCCUGUAUAUAGGGAUUUGCAUCUGCGAAUCCCAAACUCCCAAUCCAGCAAUCCUCUCAUGUCACCGUGUGUAUGCAUGUGUGUGUGUGCGCGCGCGCACACGCACGAGUGAGCUCCCAGGCCAUCACUAAAUGUGUGUUGACUGCCUCUCGCCUCCCCCUGCCUGUGCCGGUUCUGUCCCUCUGUCCCGGUUCUGUCCGGAGUUCAGGCUGCUGCCUCCUCUCCUCUGUCGGGCCUCCCAUCUCUCCACACGAGUAGGUUGGAAUUCCAAAGGAGGCAUCUGAGGGCUCCGGCCGUGCCUUAAUGAUCGCUCAGAAACCCAGACAAGGCCAGUUAUGGCUGCUGAGGCCUGCGGCCCCCAAGAUACCUGUCUGCAGUGGGGUUUAUCUUGGUGUUUGCUUUCACCCGCUGCCCGCCGCUGGCUCACCGCCGAUGGCCUUCAGUCUCUGCGGCAGGCAGGAGAGAUAAGAGAAGAAUGAGGACACCGUGGUGGGGCUGGGCAGGGUGCCUCCAUGGUUCCACCAGUUGGAAAGCCCCUGGGAGGAAUCCCGAACUCUUUCCUCUCUGAGGAGUCCCCCAGGAGGCGGCCUGAAGGUGAGUGCGUGACCUUCGGCUCAGGCAGCCCAGGGCUGGGACCUGCCGGCAGAACUCCUGCCCACCCCGCCAGAUGGCCCUGACAGCAGCCUUGAUGGUCCUGGGUGAGCUGCACAGUCCUGUGAUGGGCGGAGUGGUGUGGUUGGGGGCAGGGGUGAGGAUCGGUGACCCACUCCCAGUAGGUGCUCAGUGAACUGCUGGCCUUUGAGAGGAACGUGGGGUUGGUGGACAUAAUCAGGUUUCAGACUCAGAGAGGCUCGGGUAGGGUCCCUGGCACUGCCACUAAGUAACUGUGUCACUUUGGACAAGUGGCCUUUGUUUCUUAGUGCCUUAGUUUUCCUCCUGUGCAGAAUGGGCUCUAACAAUUGCCGGCUACACCAGAGGAUGGGUGUCCCAUGCAGGGGACUCAGCUCAAUAAACAGAGGUCGGGGUUUUCUUUGGAUGAAUGCAUUUCCUCUCUAACCCUGGAUUUCACUCUGUGCUGGGCGCUGACACAAGGUCAAGGCUGGGAACACAGCGGGACAGUUCGGGACCACAAUGUGCAGAACUGACUAACCUGCCCUGCUGCUCUGACCAGUCACCAGUGUGGAAGGAGCCCGGGUGUCCUGAGGCUGGUCCAGUGGCACAAACAGAACUUCACGUCCAGACACUCCUCCGGGCACAGCAAGGCACCCACGCCCACAUACGUGACAGAUGGUGGCCGCUGCUGCCACCUGAGGCUGAGGCUAGCAAACAGACUGUGGAAGCCCAGUGCUUCGUGACACCCCACAGACAAUGCUACCACACACCCAGGCGUUGUGAUCCAGAUCUGGAGCUGGGGAGCCCAGCUCCAGGAGCCUUCCUGUGAUGGUGAGUUUUCUCUGUCAACUUGGCCAGGCUGUCGUACCCAAGGAUUUAAUCACACACUGAUCUGGGUGCUGCUGUGAAGGCAUUUUGCAGAUGUGGUCAACAUCGACAAGCAGUUGACUUCAAGUAAAGGAGGUGGACGUGCCAGAAUGUGGGUGGGCCUCACCCAAUCAGGUGAGCGCCAUCAGAGCAAAAGCUGCGGUCUUAGGGAACGAGAAAUGUGACCUUGGGGCUCCCCUGGUGGCGCAGUGGUUGGGAGUCCGCCUGCCGAUGCAGGGGACGCGGGUUCGUGCCCCGGUCCGGGAAGAUCCCACGUGCCGCGGAGCGGCUGGGCCCGUGAGCCGUGGCCGCUAAGCCUGCGCGUCCGGAGCCUGUGCUCCGCAGCGGGAGAGGCCACAGCAGUGAGAGACCCGCGUACCGCAAAAAAAAAAAAGAAAGAAAUGUGACCUCAAGUGUGCAACAUCAACCUCUGCCUGAGCUUCUGGCCUGCUGGCUGGCCCUGCAGAUUUCAGACUUGCUGGCCCUACAAUAGCAUGAGCCAAUUCCUUAAAAUAUAUCUAUACAAAUACAUAUAUAAAGAAGAGAUAAAUACAUAGACACAUAAAGAUACAUAAAUAUAUUGGGACUUCCCUGGUGGCGCAGUGGUUAAGGAUCCACCUGCCAAUGCAGGGGACACAGGUUCGAGCCCUGGUUCCAGGAAGAUCCCACAUGCCACGGAGCAACUAAGUCCGUGCGCCACAACUACUGAGCCUGUGCUCUAGAGCCCACGAGCCACAACUACGGAGCCCGCGUGCCACAACUACUGAAGCCUGUGCGCCUAGAGCCCGUGCUCGGCAGCAAGAGAAACCACAGCAAUGAGAAGCCCGCACACUGCAACGAAGAGUAGCUCCCCCUCGCCGCAACUAGAGAAAGCGUGCGAGCGGCAACGAAGACCCAGUGAAGCCAAAAAUAAAUUUUUAAAAGAAGAUACAUAAAUAUAAAUAUUCUAUUUGUUCUGUUUCUCUGGAGAACUCUGAGACACCCCCAAUCCAGCCACCUGAUCCCCUGAGGGGCAGCACCCACGCUGCCAGGAAAAGCAUCAAAGUGACUGUGGCCUCGGGUUCAACAGGUCUUGACUUUUCACUUCAGACUGCUCUGACUCUCGUUAGCAGAAAUGGGUUUGAGUUGACAUCCCACGACAGAAGGGGUUUUUAGAAGCCCAGCAUGCUUUCUGCAACCACUGACCCCGGGAUCAGCAGUAUAGACUAGGGGUUGGCAAACUACAGACCAAUGGCAGAUCCAGGCCGCUGCCCUUUGGUGUAAAUUAAG